CAACUAACUGCUGAAAGUUUGUUUUUCCUUCAAGGAUCAGCUUUGGGACUAUGAAUGUGCCUUGGUUCUGGAGGGGAAGACUUUGUCAGUAGAAGCUUAUAUUGAACAAGAUGAAAAUGACCCUUCCACUUUCCUCAUCACAUGCCAGAAGCAUACAGCUACUCGGCUCCCCAACUAGAAUUCAGUGUGGACAUUUUCGUCCAGCGGAAACGGCAUCUCCGUGUGGACAGCAUUAAAGAUCUCAAUGUGACCUUAUACAACUGCUCAGUGGGGCACUUAGAUUGCAGCCGCUGCCAAACUGCCGAUGC
rnacentral:lncRNA from 1 species